rnacentral:rRNA from 1 species
CUGUUUAUCAAAAACACAGGUCUCUGCUAAACCGUAAGGUGAUGUAUAGGGGCUGACGCCUGCCCGGUGCUGGAAGGUUAAGAGGAGUGGUUAGCUUCUGCGAAGCUACGAAUCGAAGCCCCAGUAAACGGCGGCCGUAACUAUAACGGUCCUAAGGUAGCGAAAUUCCUUGUCGGGUAAGUUCCGACCCGCACGAAAGGCGUAACGAUUUGGGCACUGUCUCAACGAGAGACUCGGUGAAAUCAUAGUACCUGUGAAGAUGCAGGUUACCCGCGACAGGACGGAAAGACCCCGUGGAGCUUUACUGUAGCCUGAUAUUGAAAUUCGGCACAGCUUGUACAGGAUAGGUAGGAGCCUUUGAAACGUGAGCGCUAGCUUACGUGGAGGCGCUGGUGGG